rfam:Desulfotomaculum kuznetsovii DSM 6115, complete genome.
GCCACGGUAGCUCAGUUGGUAGAGCAGCGGACUGAAAAUCCGCGUGUCGCUGGUUCGAUUCCGGCCCGUGGCA